UAACCUGUGCCAACACGGCCUAACACUCAUU
rnacentral:piRNA from 1 species